rnacentral:rRNA from 1 species
GACGAACGCUGGCGGCGGGCUUAACACAUGCAAGUCGAACGGAAAGGCCCUGCUUUCGUGGGGUGCCCGAGUGGCGAACGGGUGAGUAACACGUGAGUAACCUUCCCUUGACUUUGGGAUAACUUCAGGAAACUGGGGCUAAUACCGGAUAGGAGCUCCUGCUGCAUGGUGGGGGUCGGAAAGUUUCGGCGGUUGGGGAUGGACUCGCGGCUUAUCAGCUUGUUGGUGGGGUAGUGGCUUACCCAGGCUUGGGCAGGUAGCCGGCCUGAGAGGGUGACCGGCGACCUAGGGACUGAGGGACGGCACCGACUCCAACGUUAGGCAACGGGGGGGAACAUGGUACAAUGGUGGGAAGCCUGAUGAGACAAUGCUGCGUUCGGGAUGACGGUCUUCGGGUUGUAAACCGCUUUAGCCUGUGACGAAGCGUGAUUGACGGUAACGGGUAAAGAAGCACCGGCUAACUACGUG